GUGGGGAAUAUUGGACAAUGGGGGGAACCCUGAUCCAGCCAUGCCGCGUGUGUGAAGAAGGCCUUUUGGUUGUAAAGCACUUUAAGCGAGUAGGAGGCUACCGAGAUUAAUACUCUUGGAUAGUGGACGUUACUCGCAGAAUAAGCACCGGCUAACUCUGUGCCAGCAGCCGCGGUAAUACAGAGGGUGCAAGCGUUAAUCGGAUUUACUGGGCGUAAAGCGCGCGUAGGUGGCCAAUUAAGUCAAAUGUGAAAUCCCCGAGCUUAACUUGGGAAUUGCAUUCGAUACUGGUGGGCUAGAGUAUGGGAGAGGAUGGUAGAAUUCCAGGUGUAGCGGUGAAAUGCGUAGAGAUCUGGAGGAAUACCGAUGGCGAAGGCAGCCAUCUGGCCUAAUACUGACACUGAGGUGCGAAAGCAUGGGGAGCAAACAGGAUUAGAUACCCGGGUAGUCC
rnacentral:rRNA from 1 species